UACGAAGGGGGCUAGCGUUGUUCGGAAUCACUGGGCGUAAAGGGCGCGUAGGCGGCCGAUUAAGUCGGGGGGUGAAAGCCUGUGGCUCAACCACAGAAUUGCCUUCGAUACUGAUUGGCUUGAGACCGGAAGAGGUCAGUGGAACUGCGAGUGUAGAGGUGAAAUUCGUAGAUAUUCGCAAGAACACCAGUGGCGAAGGCGGCUGACUGGUCCGGUUCUGACGCUGAGGCGCGAAAGCGUGGGGAGCAACAGG
rnacentral:rRNA from 1 species